rnacentral:misc_RNA from 1 species
GAUGAAGAACGUAGCGAAAUGCGAUACGUAAUGUGAAUUGCAGAAUUCAGUGAAUCAUCGAGUCUUUGAACGCACAUUGCGCCCCCUGGUAUUCCGGGGGGCAUGCCUGUCCGAGCGUCAUUGCUGCCCUCAAGCACGGCUUGUGUGUUGGGCCUCCGUCCUCCUCCCGGGGGACGGGCCCGAAAGGCAGCGGCGGCACCGCGUCCGGUCCUCGAGCGUAUGGGGCUUCGUCACCCGCUCUUGUAGGCCCGGCCGGCGCUUGCCGACACAUCAAUCUUUUUUCCAGGUUGACCUCGGGUCAGGUAGGGAUACCCGCUGAACUCAAGCAUAUCAAUAAGCGGAGGA